AGUUGUUAUGUUAUAGUUACCUAUUUACACAUCUAGCAGACACAGAGCAACAUUAGCAUUUAUUUAGAGUUGUGUUUCUGGCAACCUGGAAAAUAUUCACUCUCCUUUUUGUCUCCACCAACUCUGGAGGGAAAGAUCUGCUCUGUUGGUGCUAAAUGCUCCACUGUGUUCACCAGCUAGUCGCUAACUUUGUCUGUCUGCCGUUCGAUGUUGAGCAAGUAGUGGACUACAGAGAUUUUUGCAGAAAACAACAGCUGCCCGAUGAGUGUAGAAACAAGGUUGAUAAGAGUUUGCUGGCCAAAAAACCAAAACAAUGAGCUGAAAGAGGUUAAAAAGGCUCCAUAGAGUGGAAGGGAACUGUAGGACAGGUGAAAAUUCUAUGUGGGUUUGACAACUUUCACAAAAUGCAUAGUGGAUCCAUUGUAAAUACAAAAAAAAAAAAAAAAAAGAUUAGUGCAGCUUUAAAGGGCAGAAUGUUUGGGGCAGUUACCUGAAAAAGGUGGAGGGAUACUCAUUUGUAAAAUACUUGUAAAUUAUGUAAUAAUCAUUCUAAUAUAAGAACAGUGGGCUCCUGCAAUCUUUAUAUAUUGGUAAUAUAAAGAGGAGAAGCAUCAAAAGCAGUAGCAAUGCUAGUAUUUAUGGGACCUUGAAUUGAGAUUUAUCAUUCAAUGGAUGUAGUUAUGGGUGAUUUUGUAAUGUAAGACCUUUUCUGGUUACACAGGGAGGUCAGAGGUCAAGUUACAGUGCUGAUAUGUAUGGAUAGGGUGUCUCAGUUAAAGCUGCAUCUGAAAACUUGGAUGUUUGUUGGGUAUUUGAUGACAAAGAACAUUUUGUUGUGGAUACACUGUACCUGAAUCACAAAGUUAUUAUUUAAUUUAGCAGUCCCCAGCUUCGCUUUCACAGUUUAAGGAUCAACAUUGGUGUUUUCACUGAUUUAGCUCAGGAGUUUAAAUGGUUUUAGCCAUUUGUCCAGCAUGUAGGAGAAAGUUUGACUCAUCCUAUAUUAAUGAAAUUGUGUAUAAAAUAAAGUUUUUAAUCAAAUGUACAAGCCUUGAAAUAUUUAGCAGAAUUUUCCUAAACCUUUGUUACAAGUUUCUGAAUUUUCCUAGAUGUUCCCUUAAUAACUGGCCUAAAUAGUGUCCAACUUCAUAGACUUGAAAGACAUUAACAUAUUUUCUUGAUAAUUGUGCAGAACUUGUGGGCUCCUUCGUGGACUUUUUGAGCUUUUUAUGCACACUUUCUUAGGUUUGCAAUGCUACAGACUUUGCUUGAGGGAAUUACCCACCAUUAGUUCAUAGUUGUUGUUUUUUUUGUUGCUUUUGUACAACUUCACAAUAAAUAAAAUACAUGAAUCUCAAAGCCUUUGCCCUUGCAGGGAUGAAUCAAGCUGCAUUGAAUUGAAUCGAAAUAAAUAUUGUGGAAAUGUUAAAAUCGGCAUGACACUGAAAUACCGAUUCAAACUACAUGACCCCAGUUUGUAUCACAGGCUUACUUUAAAAUAUUUGUAGUCCCAAGCCUAAUUCAAGAUAACCCUGAUGAUAGUGAUGUCAUCAGGGUUAUUUUCUCAGACUUUGAAAUAUCCCUUCAGAGCCACAGAGGACAUUAUACAAUUGUUUACAGGCUAAUUAGCACAAACCAGGACUGGUCAACUGAUCUUGAUGUGUGAAAUUGGUGUCUGCCCCUUUAACUCAGUUUCUCUGAGCACACAGGUGAUGUCAGUUAUAAUAGGAUCUGGUUCAAGCAGGGAGUCAGCUCCUUGUUUUGGGAUGCUGGGACCGGAGAGAGGAGAAGGGAACGUACAGCUGCCCUCAGUGCAGGGAGAAGAAACUUUCACAUUUAUAUGUUGAUGCAGAUUAAAAAUGUGUACUCAUUUUUUAUCAUAACAACACAAAUACAAGAUUUGUGGGAGCUUGUUGAGAAUCUGAAGAAGUCAAGCACCCAGCAGGCUGCUCCCCCUGCUGCUGUGGCCUGUGCCGGCCCGGCAGAUGUCGCCUGUGAUUUCUGCUGUGGGAAACGAAACAAAGCCACGACGUCUUGCCUGACGUGUUUGGCAUCUUACUGUCCAGCUCACCUCGAGCCUCACUACAGUGUUCCUGUGUUGAAGAAGCACUAGCUGGUCUCGGCUACAAUCCCCCUACAGGAAAAGAUGUGUACGAAGCACAACAAGCUGAUGGAGGUCUACUGCCAGACAGACAAGAAGUGUAUCUGCUAUCUGUGCAUUAUAGAUGAGCAUAAAAGCCACCGUACAGUGUCAGCUGCAGCAGAGAGGGCUGAAGAACAGGUAGAAACAGCAGAACUAGUGAACGUGAAACUGUAGACUGUUAAAAUAAACAGGUCUACAGUCAAACACAUUGACAUGUUUGUUACUUUAGAAUUUUAGUCCAAUCUUUAUUACCAGUUGUACUCAGUAGAUCAGAUGUGAUUUGCAAUAAUAGAAAACUAAAUAACUUUAUUAAUAAAACUGUUCACAAUGAG